rnacentral:rRNA from 1 species
UACGUAGGGUGCAAGCGUUGUCCGGAAUUAUUGGGCGUAAAGAGCUUGUAGGCGGUUUGUCGCGUCUGCUGUGAAAUUUCGGGGCUCAACCCCGAACUUGCAGUGGGUACGGGCAGACUAGAGUGUGGUAGGGGAGACUGGAAUUCCUGGUGUAGCGGUGAAAUGCGCAGAUAUCAGGAGGAACACCGAUGGCGAAGGCAGCUCGCUGGGACGGUACUGACGCUGAGGCGCGAAAGCGUGGGGAGCGAACAGG